AAAGCACACUGAGAACGCCCCCCUGGCUGCUGGCGGGCUCAGCUCCCUUUCGGGGGAGCCUGGACUGGAAAGGCCUGAUCCCCAGCAGGGCCUGGGGCAGCCUGAGAUCAUGACUUAAUUAAUGCCUGCAGGGCACAUUUGAUCUUCAGGAGCCGUGCCCACUCAGCCGAGGCUGCUCCUGCAGUAACUGCCCUGAACCAAGGACUCCCUGCCCAGAGAUAGAGAAUGUGGACUUUCUUCAUUACAAAUUGCUCCGAAAUCCACUCUGGCACCGGGCAGAGGCCUGCGUUGGGUCGCCCACUGGCCCCCAUCUGCAAGACCCAGGCGCAGGCAGCUGGGCAGCUGUGCCCUUGCGCUGGGGCACCAGUGAACCGUGUGAACCGCCUAAUAGCGGCUGGAAGUGAAACUCGAUUCCUGGGCACAAAGAAGCAUGUGACCACGCCUGAGCGGCAAGAAUCGCCGACAGGAAGGCUGGGCGGGUGCUGGAGCCGCCGUGCGCCUGGCCUCCAGACGGAUGAAGGGUCCCCUCUCCCGCGGAGCAUCCCAAACCGCCUCCUCCGUUAGCCCCCUCUCCAGAGAUGAGGACGCUGGGGUCUGAAAGGGGGAGGAGGUUUGGCGAGAGGGACCGGGGCUCUGUAGCGAGUCCGCGGUCGUGGGUUCUCAUCCAAGUUGGUGCCCUCUCGGUCAAGUCGGUCCAAGGUCUCUGAAACAGCCUCUAGGGAUCUGCUUCUGCCAGUUUCUUCCGAGGACCGGGAGGGUGGGGCGGGCUGGGUCGGGGUGGGGGGAGGCCCCUGUGCACCCUCAGGGAGAGCCUUGAUAUGCGAGCGCCCCAGUCUUCCCCAAAGGCGGCUGUACAAGUUUGUGCCACCCUCGCGCUGCCACUGUUGCCGUGGUCGCUAUGACGACGACGCGCCGCGGUUUUAUUUUUAAUAGCGGCCAGCGAUUAGAGGGAUGCCUGCGCCGCCCCCCACAGAUCUCAGCCCUGGACCGAGGAUGCACCCAAGCUGCCCGGCUCCCCGCCAAGCUUCGGCCCGAGUUCCCGUAGCAGGCGCCCCCCUUCCCCGUCCCCAGAUCGUUCCCUCCGCCCCGCACUUGAACUGGGAGCCCUUGAAGUGCCAGGCGGAGAAGAGACCCAGAGGGAAUCACUCGGGAAGGUUUGCUCUGGGUGGCAGCCCCCCAGGACUCAGCGAGCCUCUACAGAGAGGAGGGAAGGCCCCGCCCCCACCCUGCAAUAAAGGUGACCUUUCCUCCCUCAUCCCCA
ensembl:lncRNA